AUUGAACGCUGGCGGCAGGCCUAACACAUGCAAGUCGAGCGAGUGGCGGACGGGUGAGUAAUGUCUGGGAAACUGCCUGAUGGAGGGGGAUAACUACUGGAAACGGUAGCUAAUACCGCAUACCAUCGGAUGUGCCCAUAUGGGAUUAGCUAGUAGGUGGGGUAAAGGCUCACCUAGGCGACGAUCCCUAGCUGGUCUGAGAGGAUGACCAGCAACACUGGAACUGAUACACGGUCCAGACUCCUACGGGAGGCAGCAGUGGGGAAUAUUGCACAAUGGGCGCAAGCCUGAUGCAGCCAUGCCGCGUGUAUGAAGAAGGCCUUAGGGUUGUAAAGUACUUUCAGCGGGGAGGCGUUACCCGCAGAAGAAGCACCGGCUAACUCCGUGCCAGCAGCCGCGGUAAUAC
rnacentral:rRNA from 1 species